GCCAGGUAGGGUGGUGUGUGCCUGUACUCCCAGCUGCUUGGGAGGCUAAGAUGGGAAGGAUUGCUUGAGCCCAGGAGCUCUGGGCUGUAGUGCGCUGUGCCCAUCGGGUGACAUCCAUUGGGUGUCCGAACUAAGUUCAACGUCAGAAGCAGAGACCACCAGGCUGCCUAAGGAGGAAUGAACCAGCCUGCUUUGGAAACAGAGCAGCUGAAACUCCCGCGCUCACUAGUGAGGGGAUCACACCUGUGAAUAGCCACUUCUACCUGGGCAACACAGACUCUGUCUCU
rnacentral:SRP_RNA from 1 species